rnacentral:rRNA from 1 species
UACGAAGGGGGCUAGCGUUGCUCGGAAUGACUGGGCGUAAAGGGCGCGUAGGCGGAUUGUUUAGUUAGGUGUGAAAUUCCUGGGCUUAACCUGGGGACUGCACUUAAUACAGGCAGUCUAGAGUGGGAUAGAGGGUUGUGGAAUUCCCAGUGUAGAGGUGAAAUUCGUAGAUAUUGGGAAGAACACCGGUGGCGAAGGCGGCAACCUGGAUCUUUACUGACGCUGAGGCGCGAAAGCGUGGGGAGCAAACAGG